rnacentral:tRNA from 1 species
GCCCGGGUAGCUCAGUCGGUAGAGCGCUUCCUUGGUAAGGAAGAGGUCGGCAGUUCGAAUCUGCUCUCAGGCACCA